rnacentral:rRNA from 1 species
CUCAACCGGGCGAGGUCGUUGAAAACUGAGGGGCUUGAGACCGCAAGAGGAAGGCGGAAUUCCCGGUGGAGUGGUGGAAUGCGUAGAGAUCGGGAAGAACACCCGUGGCGAAAGCGGCCUUCUGGAGCGGGUCUGACGCUGAGGUGCGAAAGCGUGGGGAGCGAACGGGAUUAGAUACCCCGGUAGUCCACGCUGUAAACGCUGUGAACUAGGUGUGGGAGGGGACCACCUUCCGUGCCGCAGCCAACGCGCUAAGUUCACCGCCUGGGGAGUACGGCCGCAAGGCUAAAACUCAAAGGAAUUGACGGGGGCCCGCACAAGCAGCGGAGCGUGUGGUUUAAUUCGAUGCAACGCGCAGAACCUUACCUGGGCUUGACAUGACCGUCGUAGUGAAGGGAAACCGGAACGAGCCUUCGGGCAGCG